rnacentral:rRNA from 1 species
UACAGAGGGUGCGAGCGUUAAUCGGAAUUACUGGGCGUAAAGCGUGCGUAGACGGUUAUGUAAGUCAGAUGUGAAAGCCCCGGGCUCAACCUGGGAAUUGCAUUUGAGACUGUGUAGCUAGGGUGCGGAAGAGGGAAGCGGAAUUUCCGGUGUAGCGGUGAAAUGCGUAGAUAUCGGAAGGAACACCAGUGGCGAAAGCGGCUUCCUGGUCCAGCACCGACGUCAGCACGAAAGCGUGGGGAGCAAACAGG